UAUAACUGAACCAACCUGGUGCUCUUCAUUUAUGGAGGCUGUUGAGUCUGAAUGUUGGAUGUUGUGUAUCUCGUGUUCUCUGGGCUUUGUUGUCCUCAGUCUUUUUGCAGGAUCAGAAAACAAAACCGGGAGGCGCGUAAAUGUUUCUUCUCCAUGAUGUUUCUUCAAAUGUUUCUUCUGGAUGAUGAUAUGACCGUGACACGGGAUGCCACCUUUGGUCUUGUGACGAAGCAAAGCUCAGGAAGAAGUGUGAUUAAAUGAGCAGAGCAGCAGUUUGUGCUCACAGAUGGUGACGGUGUGGAGAGACGGUGGUAUUUCCUCAGAAGAACCAGCAGAGUCACAAAGGACACCAGUCCAUCUCACCACCUUGACUUGCUGACUGAUGUUCGUCUGCACUGCACAGAGGAAAUCAACUGACCGAGGAGCGUUUCUGAGUGAGGGGGAGAGGAGUCAUCAUCCAGGUAAAGUGACGUGGAUCAGUGGAUACACUUGUCUCCCCUUUAAAGGAGACGAUCCAAGUCAUCCUUAAAUAUGGGCAGUAUAUCAGUCUUGGACUGUCUAACCUGCCGGAGCAGCACUGAAUGACCACCGCACGAGCAUGUUCCUGCAACAUUCAGCAUCUGAUCCUUCAUCUGUGUGCUUCUGCUUUUGUGUCAAAUGUCAAACAGCUGGAGAAGAAACUACACCAGUGUACUGGGAUGUUUCAGCAACACGUGCCAGAUGCUGUUCCUUCAUGGUGACAUCACCAGAGACAGUCCCGCCCACCUCAGGACCCAUUGAUUAUGAUGAUCUGAUCCAUCAAACCCCCAGCAG